AGACACAGAGUGCAAAAGAGAAACAAGCUGGUUAGAGAAAUAGGAUUUUUGCUGGUUGCACACGCACAGUGGAGACAGUGAGACACCAAGGAGCAGAGCAGGAGAGACUGAAAUUGUCAUUGUUUAUGAGUGAAUGAGGUGAAGAGGACCAGUAGGAUCUCUAGCAACCAACAGGGAAAGAAGAGAACAGCGGUACCCAGAAGUGCCGGGACUGUUGAACCACGGGAGAGAUGCUGCAGUGACUUAAGUGACCGAAGGCACCAAUGGGAGGCAUAAAAGCUUCCUCUUAAAGAACUGCUGCGCCCUUCUUAAUGAGAGGCCUCCCUGCUCUAGGCACACUUGUAUCCUGAAUCAUGGCAAAAUAAUAUUUGAGGCAUGCAUAGACGUGACAUUAUACACAGGACGAUGUUUAGCUCACAUACAGUAUGGGUUCUUGCUGGAGAAGACUGGGUCAGCUAGGAGCACCAAUGUCAUCUUGUUUUUUCCCCAAGGGAUGCUAUGGAUAUUGGAAAACUACAGUUUUAUAAACAUUGUAAUCUAUAUUUCCUAAUAAGCUCACCCAUUGUAGCAACAUAAAUAUAUGAAUUUUCUUUCAGUAUUCCACUGCACUAAGAAAUCUUGUGUGUGGCACUAAGUGUAUUUGACAAGCUGAGUUCGACACUCAACAUAUCAGUGUCAGUUUGUCAAAUACCCCAAGUGAAGCACUAUUAUUCACACGGUCACUCUCGGCGUGGACAGAAAGUCAGGAGCACUCUACUUUUUUUUUUUUUAACCCUUGAGUGUAUUAGUAGUGCUUUUUGCACUUCUGAUUAUUGCAUUGUAUUCUUUGCCAGUUGCUUUAUUAUACGUAAGAUAUUUUGCAACAAAUGUUUUAUGUUAAACAUCUUAUUACAAUGA